rnacentral:ribozyme from 1 species
GAGCGGAUUCUGGCGCUCGCGCAGGAACGAAACCUCUUCGUGCUCUCGGACGAGAUCUACGGUGACCUGUACUUUGGGGGGGAGGCUGGAACAGCAGCUCC